rfam:Ailuropoda melanoleuca scaffold1095_14, whole genome shotgun sequence.
UGGGGCGUGAACCUGGCAUACAAUGUAGAUUUCUGUGUUUCUAGGGCAACAGCUACAUUGUCUGCUGGGUUUCAGGCUACCUGG